rnacentral:lncRNA from 1 species
AGAAAUUUUCAAAUGAGGUGCUGGUGCUAGAAAUGGAAGUCAUUGGUUGGGUAACUUUUCAAUUUUCAUACAUCCUCCGCUCCUACCUCCAAGUUUCUUCCGUGCUUUCUGCUGGAGAGGGAAUAUAGUACACGGGGUGAGUAGGAAUUGAAAAACACUGUCUUUGGAAUGGAGAGUCAGGGAACUGCCUGGAGAGAAACGAAGCAAAACAAAACAAAAUGCUCUCGCUCUGAUAGUGUGAACUAGUUGGGUGCAAAUAUAAAACAACUGUUAUCAACACCCACCUCAACCCUGGUUCAUUCUAUGGGGCAAGUUCUUCCUCUGCUCCUGGAAGAAAUUCUGAGAAGGUGAAACUGGUUUUUCCUGGCAUUUUCAGAUAAUAAAAUCAUUUUGCCUGAAAGAGUCUCAUGUUACAAUUAAAAGUCAAGUCAAAAACCAUAGAGUUUAAAGUUAAAAUUUCUCUCCUCUCCGACUGGGGAUCUCCUCCCCCAGUUUGGGCCUGCACCUUCAACCUCUUCUUAGUUUCCCCUCCUGCUUCUCCAUCUCUUCUCCCUCACUCAAUAAGCGUCCUUCCCCCAUGCAAGAUUGAAGGUGGGACUAGGGGCCGGGGUAGGAAAGGAAGAGAGGUAAGGUUACAGAGAGAAAGGUCUUACCUGACCAAUAUUGAUGCAACCUGACCCUCUUUCCCCCUGGCUGGUUAAUUCUUGCUCAUGAGAUGCAUUAAGCGUUCUUUGAAGAGCUCCUGUCAUCGCUGGAGAUGUCUCACCUACAGAACUAGGUGGAUUCAUUUCCUCUAGCUGGUGAUUCACAAUUCCCUGAGCACCUGACUUUCACUGUACACCUUCAGCCUUUUCUAUUGAGGUCUCCUUGCCUUCCCUCUAUCAGAUACAUGGGCAGGGCUUAGGGCAGUUUAAGGAUGGCUUUCUCUCUCACUUGUUGCUCACAUUUGAUCCAUGAAAAAGACUCACGUGUCAUUCCCUGUCGCACCAACAAAGCAGGAAGCUUUGGCCAGAGCAUCUUGCUUUUAGGUGCUUUAACCAUGUGUCAGAUACCAGUCCACUGUAUCCCCCAAACAGCAGGGAAUCCUAUCAGAAACCUCAAUUUAUCCCUGGGAAGCCUAUUUUGCUUGACUUUAGGUGAGGAGGAAGCCUCUUCCUCUUACUCCAUAGCCAUGAAGGCAGGGUAUCAGCAGCAUACUAAAAACUCUAAGAUUUUUUCUUUAAUCUCCAAUCAGUAUCUUUUGAUCUCUUCCAUUUCUUUCACAGAUUGAAUAUAGGUGAUCUGCAAAAUCAGUUUAUAGCACCAUCUUCUCAAAAUGUUACAUGGUGCAACUAUUAUCUGGAGGCCUUAGAUGAAACAGGGAUUUGGAGAGUCCCAUUUUACAUUUUGAUGGCUAAAGCCCUAGUCCUUUGGACUGUCACACCAAGACGGUCAAUGGAUUUCCAUUAGAGGAUCUGAACAUGCCCUGUAUUCCAGUUGGCUCUUUGACAUUCAAAGUCUGGGCAGACUGGCAGGCCCCAUUUGCCAAGGAGCAAUUACUUCUGUAGUAAUUAGGUCUGAAAUCAUGUUGCCUGUUUGAAUCAAAAGCAGUUUUCUGCACAACGUAACAUUCAACCAGUGCAGACACGGAAGAGUAAAUAAACAACCCAUGUUUCUUCAACCAGGCACAGCACUGAAUUUUACAGCAGUUAAAGAUUCUAAGGGUAUUAAAGAUUACAAGAAUGUAAUCAUACCAAUACCAAAGAGAUUUGUUAAUUAAAGCCAAAAUCUGGAAGUAUAAGCUGAAGUUAUUAUUGUUUAUAUUAUAAUAGAAAAGAAAAAGAGGGACAAAGAAGGAAAAAGAGAAGAAAUCUUAAAUGGUAAACUGAAAAACAAAAUCAUAAAAAUGUAAAUAUAUCGAGGAUUCUAAAAAUCAACUAGUUUAAUACCUUCAUCUUACAUAAAAUAAUAACAAUAGUAACAAAAAACCCUACUGCGCAUUUGCUAUGUUUUAAGCACUUCAUAAUAAUGUUAUCUCAUUUAAUCAUCAUAUAUGAAAGGCUGUGGUAGAUUAGAUUAUUGCUCUCGGGUCUUCACUCACUGCCUUCUGCCAUGUAACUUUCUGAUGCACUGUAGUGGGCAGAGUACAUUUCUCCACCCCAUUGAUAUUGGGCUUGACCACGUGACUAGCAUUGAUCAAUGAGAUGUUAACACAUGUCACACAAAUACAAGAGUAAAGUCUGUUUUCUAAUUUUGUAAAUUGUGUAAUUUGACUUGUCAUCUUGCAUUCCUGAGAUUGGUGCUGGACAAGGACAAUGAAGAAACAUACGGAGCAAACCUAAACUCAACCUGGAGCCUAGAGCCAAGGCUCACCAAUGACAUCCUGAAGCAGAUCUACCCCAAAACACUUGCAGGCCUAUGAACCAAGAAAACUAACGCUUGUGACCUCCACUCUUACUACAGGGACUUGGAGAAUACUAAAGACUUCCCUUCUUCAUGGAGAAAAGAAGGAUAUCUGUGGAAGUAGCACAAGAAGAAUACCUAUGCCAUACGCCCACCCCUCUAUCUGGAUCUACAUCUCCAGCCUUGGACUUCCCUCCCCUAACUAGAGGACAGAUUAAUUCUUUCCAAGUGCUUAGAAGUUUGCGUUUAGAUUUCAUCAAAAAUUUUCCACUGAUUGAUUUACAAAUCAAAUAUUUAACACAAAGAACCUCUGGUCUCAUUAGAAU